rnacentral:rRNA from 1 species
AUGAAGCUGGAUUCGCUAGUAAUCGCGCAUCAGCCACGGCGCGGUGAAUACGUUCCCGGGCCUUGUACACACCGCCCGUCACACCAUGAGAGUCGAUAACACCCGAAGCCUGUGAGCUAACCGCAAGGAGGCAGCAGUCGAAGGUGGGGUUGAUGAUUGGGGUGAAGUCGUAACAAGGUACC